UGGGGAAUAUUGGACAAUGGGGGCAACCCUGAUCCAGCCAUGCCGCGUGUGUGAAGAAGGCUUUCGGGUUGUAAAGCACUUUCAGUGAGGAGGAAAACCUUACGACUAAUACUCGUGAGGCUUGACGUUACUCACAGAAGAAGCACCGGCUAACUCCGUG
rnacentral:rRNA from 2 species